AUUGAACGCUGGCGGCAUGCCUUACACAUGCAAGUCGAACGGCAGCACGGGGCAACCUGGUGGCGAGUGGCGAACGGGUGAGUAAUGCAUCGGAACGUACCCGGAAGUGGGGGAUAACGUAGCGAAAGUUACGCUAAUACCGCAUAUUCUGUGCGCAGGAAAGAGGGGGAUCUUCGGACCUCUUGCUUUCGGAGCGGCCGAUGUCAGAUUAGCUAGUUGGUGAGGUAAAGGCUCACCAAGGCGACGAUCUGUAGCGGGUCUGAGAGGAUGAUCCGCCACACUGGAACUGAGACACGGUCCAGACUCCUACGGGAGGCAGCAGUGGGGAAUUUUGGACAAUGGGCGCAAGCCUGAUCCAGCCAUGCCGCGUGAGUGAAGAAGGCCUUCGGGUUGUAAAGCUCUUUCGGCCGGGAAGAAAUCGCAUGGAUUAAUACUCUGUGCGGAUGACGGUACCGGCAUAAGAAGCACCGGCUAACUACGUGCCAGCCGCCGCCGUAACAC
rnacentral:rRNA from 1 species